rnacentral:rRNA from 1 species
AUUGAACGCUGGCGGCAGGCUUAACACAUGCAAGUCGAGCGGGGGAAGGUAGCUUGCUACCGGACCUAGCGGCGGACGGGUGAGUAAUGCUUAGGAAUCUGCCUAUUAGUGGGGGACAACAUCUCGAAAGGGAUGCUAAUACCGCAUACGUCCUACGAGAGAAAGCAGGGGAUCUUCGGACCUUGCGCUAUUAGAUGAGCCUAAGUCGGAUUAGCUAGUUGGUGGGGUAAAGGCCUACCAAGGCGACGAUCUGUAGCGGGUCUGAGAGGAUGAUCCGCCACACUGGGACUGAGACACGGCCCAGACUCCUACGGGAGGCAGCAGUGGGGAAUAUUGGACAAUGGGGGGAACCCUGAUCCAGCCAUGCCGCGUGUGUGAAGAAGGCCUUAUGGUUGUAAAGCACUUUAAGCGAGGAGGAGGCUACUUUAGUUAAUACCUAGAGAUAGUGGACGUUACUCGCAGAAUAAGCACCGGCUAACUCUGUGCCAGCCGCCGCAGUAAAAC